ACAAGUAUUGAAGGUGAUGCCUGCCCGGUGACACACGUUUAACGGCCGCGGUAUCCUAACCGUGCAAAGGUAGCGCAAUCAAUUGUCCCAUAAAUCGAGACUAGUAUGAAUGGCUAAACGAGGUCUUAACUGUCUCUUACAGGCAAUCGGUGAAAUUGAUCUCCCUGUACAAAAGCAGGGAUAAACCCAUAAGACGAGAAGACCCUGUGGAACUUUAAAAUCAGCAACCACCCUAAAAAUACAUACACACCUACUAGGCUCACUAACUCAUUAGGAUUAUGGUCUGCAUUUUUCGGUUGGGGCGACCUUGGAGCAAAACAAAACCUCCAAAAACUAGACCACACCUCUAAACUGAGAGCAACCCCUCAACGUGCUAACAGCACCCAGACCCAAUACAAUUGAUCAAUGGACCAAGCUACCCCAGGGAUAACAGCGCAAUCUCCUCCGAGAGUCCGUAUCGACGAGGAGGUUUACGACCUCGAUGUUGGAUC
rnacentral:rRNA from 1 species